CAAAAUAUAGCUUAUCAAAAGCACUCAGCUUACACCUGAAAGUUGUCCAUUAAAAUCGGAUUAUUUUG
rnacentral:tRNA from 1 species